GCGCAAGUAGUUCAAUGGUAGAACGCCGUCCUGAUAAGACGGAGGUUCAUGGUCCGAUUCCAUGCUUGCGCA
rnacentral:tRNA from 1 species